rnacentral:rRNA from 1 species
GUGAGGAAUAUUGGGCAAUGGGCGAAAGCCUGACCCAGCCACGCCGCGUGAGUGAUGAAGGCCUUCGGGUUGGAAAGCUCUGUGGGGAGGGAAGAAAAAGCGGUAGAGUAACUGCUCUCGUGUUGACGGUACCUCCUUAGCAAGCACCGGCUAACUCUGUGCCAGCAGCCGCGGUAAUACAGAGGGUGCAAACGUUGCUCGGAAUUACUGGGCGUAAAGCGCGUGUAGGCUGACAUGCAAGUCGGGUGUGAAAUCCCAGGGCUCAACCUUGGAACUGCACUCGAAACUGCACGUCUUGAGUACUGGAGAGGGAAGCGGAAUUCCGGGUGUAGAGGUGAAAUUCGUAGAUAUCCGGAGGAACACCAGUGGCGAAGGCGGCUUCCUGGACAGUAACUGACGCUGAGACGCGAAAGCGUGGGGAGCAAACAGGAUUAGAAACCCCUGUAGUCC